AUCAAUUCUCGGCCUUUUGGCUAAGAUCAAAUGUAGUAUCUGUUCUUAUCAGUUUAAUAAUUUUUACUUCAGUAUUCCUGAACACUAAGGAAAACCAUGAUUUGCUUUCCCUGUUUUAUAAGUGUAAAAAAGCAAUUUUUAAUGACCCAGAGCAAAUUUGACUUAAAACACUCUCU
rnacentral:snRNA from 1 species